rnacentral:rRNA from 1 species
UACGUAGGGUGCGAGCGUUGUCCGGAAUUAUUGGGCGUAAAGAGCUCGUAGGCGGUUCGGUAAGUCAGGUGUGAAAACUCCAGGCUCAACUUGGAGACGCCACCUGAUACUGUCGUGACUAGAGUCCAGUAGGGGAUCAUGGAAUUCCUGGUGUAGCGGUGAAAUGCGCAGAUAUCAGGAGGAACACCAGCGGCGAAGGCGGUGCUCUGGGCCGGAACUGACGCUGAGGAGCGAAAGCGUGGGGAGCGAACAGG